UUACGGGGUGCAGCAGGCGCGAAACCUUUACACUGCACGACAGUGCGAUAAGGGAAUCCCAAGUGCGUAGGCAUAGAGCCUACGCUUUUGUCCACCGUAGGGAGGUGGACGAAUAAGGGCUGGGCAAGACCGGUGCCAGCCGCCGCGGUAAUACCGGCAGCCCGAGUGAUGGCCGAUCUUAUUGGGCCUAAAGCGUCCGUAGCUGGCCGCACAAGUCCAUCGGAAAAUCCACCCGCUCAACGGGUGGGCGUCCGGUGGAAACUGUGUGGCUUGGGACCGGAAGGCGCGACGGGUACGUCCGGGGUAGGAGUGAAAUCCUGUAAUCCUGGACGGACCGCCGAUGGCGAAAGCACGUCGCGAGAACGGACCCGACAGUGAGGGACGAAAGCUAGGGUCUCGAACCGGAUUAGAUACCCAGGUAGUCCUAGCCGUAAACAGUGCCUGCUAGGUGUGGCUCCCACUACGAGUGGGUGCUGUGCCGUAGGGAAGCCGCUAAGCAGGCCGCCUGGGAAGUACGUCCGCAAGGAUGAAACUUACAGGAAUUGGCGGGGGAGCACAAUCACUAGUGAAUUC
rnacentral:rRNA from 1 species